GCGAGGAUGGUGAAACUGGCAGACACGCCAGCUUGAGGGGCUGGUGGGCGCAAGCUCUUGGGGGUUCGAAUCCCCCUCCUCGCACCA
rnacentral:tRNA from 1 species